rnacentral:rRNA from 1 species
GACGAACGCUGGCGGCGUGCUUAACACAUGCAAGUCGAACGAUGAAGCCCUUCGGGGUGGAUUAGUGGCGAACGGGUGAGUAACACGUGGGCAAUCUGCCCUUCACUCUGGGACAAGCCCUGGAAACGGGGUCUAAUACCGGAUAACACCUGCCCGGGCAUCUGGGUGGGUUAAAAGCUCCGGCGGUGAAGGAUGAGCCCGCGGCCUAUCAGCUUGUUGGUGAGGUAGUGGCUCACCAAGGCGACGACGGGUAGCCGGCCUGAGAGGGCGACCGGCCACACUGGGACUGAGACACGGCCCAGACUCCUACGGGAGGCAGCAGUGGGGAAUAUUGCACAAUGGGCGAAAGCCUGAUGCAGCGACGCCGCGUGAGGGAUGACGGCCUUCGGGUUGUAAACCUCUUUCAGCAGGGAAGAAGCGAAAGUGACGGUACCUGCAGAAGAAGCGCCGGCUAACUACGUGCCAGCAGCCGCGGUAAUACGUAGGGCGCAAGCGUUGUCCGGAAUUAUUGGGCGUAAAGAGCUCGUAGGCGGCUUGUCACGUCGGGUGUGAAAGCCCGGGGCUUAACCCCGGGUCUGCAUUCGAUACGGGCUAGCUAGAGUGUGGUAGGGGAGAUCGGAAUUCCUGGUGUAGCGGUGAAAUGCGCAGAUAUCAGGAGGAACACCGGUGGCGAAGGCGGAUCUCUGGGCCCAUUACUGACGCUGAGGAGCGAAAGCGUGGGGAGCGAACAGGAUUAGAUACCCUGGUAGUCCACGCCGUAAACGGUGGGAACUAGGUGUUGGCGACAUUCACGUNGUCGGUNCNNANCUACGCNUAAUUNCCCCCUGGGGAUNCGGCNCAGGCUAAAUCAANGAUUGACGGGGCCCCCCAACACNGACNUUGGUUUNUUNACCACNNAAACUACAGGUGNUACCGAACGCAAAUGNCCCCUUGGCGUNAGGGGCUGGNCCACUNUCNAAUGGUAUCCAACCCCUNUUUUCCUCCUNGGUGGCNANACCGGAUGNAGGGNAAANUCCUUUGUCCUAGGGNANGACGGGAUAAUUUUNGUNCC